GGUGUGACACUGUAAUCUUUUUGGAAUCAUUUUAAAAGAUUCGAAGAGAUUCAAAAAGAUUCAAGAUGAUUCGGCGGGAUUAAUAUAAAAACGAACACCCGUCAGUCAUAUCGAAAUAACUACAUCAUUUUGUUCGGUGUUUGUUUUGGUUUCGAAGACGCUGAUAGCUGAUCGUGGGGAAACGAAAAUUUUUGUGAUACGAAACUGAAGUUUCUGAAACAAGUGGCAUCCGCGUCUCACUGAGGCAUCGUCGCCACCUCCCGCGGCUCGAACGAAAAGUCUUCGUGAUGGUCCGACACUGCUCCCGAUUAACUAACCGCCGCCGAUGGAUCCGCGCGGCAAGAAUUCGAUACCAAAUUGGCAUCGCGGCGACAUCCGCGUAAUCGCCCGUCCUCCGGCUCCACUCGCGGGUUCGACACCCGUGAACUCCCGAAUCGGAGGUAGCCCCCGGGAUACCCGUGACUUGUGAAGGUAGAUCAACCAGAAACAAGAGCAUCGCGAGUGUGGUGCGAGUAUGCAACUAUUUUGAGGUAUCUCAGUCUACCGGAUUAGUAGAGGAAGGAAUGGUGGUCCAAAUAGUAAGAGUGGCUGAUGCAGGAGCGCUAUUAUGAACCAUGGAAACAGUUGCAGUUGAACCAUCGUCGCAAGAAUGUUCCCAUAUCGCAGCUUUUGAACCAAGAUAAGGCACUCCCUUAAAUUUGAACUACGGCAGGUGGGAAAUUUGUUCCUGUAAUGUUCAAAGGUAAUCCUUAUGUAACUUUGAGAGGAUCUUUAGUUUUAUAAGGUAAUUAAGCAUCAAAAUAGAACAAUAAAGGAUUAAAAAAAGCAAAUAUAAAGCUAAAAAA